rnacentral:rRNA from 1 species
GGUUAAGCGACUAAGCGUACACGGUGGAUGCCCUGGCAGUCAGAGGCGAUGAAGGGCGUGCUAAUCUGCGAUAAGCGCCGGUAAGGUGAUAUGAACCGUUAUAACCGGCGAUUUCCGAAUGGGGAAACCCAGUGUGACUCGUCACACUAUCAUUAACUGAAUCCAUAGGUUAAUGAGGCGAACCGGGGGAACUGAAACAUCUAAGUACCCCGAGGAAAAGAAAUCAACCGAGAUUCCCCCAGUAGCGGCGAGCGAACGGGGAGGAGCCCAGAGCCUGAAUCAGCAUGUGUGUUAGUGGAAGCGUCUGGAAAGGCGCGCGAUACAGGGUGACAGCCCCGUACACAAAAGCGCAUGUGCUGUGAGCUCGAUGAGUAGGGCGGGACACGUGGUAUCCUGUCUGAAUAUGGGGGGACCAUCCUCCAAGGCUAAAUACUCCUGACUGACCGAUAGUGAACCAGUACCGUGAGGGAAAGGCGAAAAGAACCCCGGCGAGGGGAGUGAAAAAGAACCUGAAACCGUGUACGUACAAGCAGUGGGAGCACCCUUUGGGGUGUGACUGCGUACCUUUUGUAUAAUGGGUCAGCGACUUAUAUUCUGUAGCAAGGUUAACCGAAUAGGGGAGCCGGAGGGAAACCGAGUCUUAAUUGGGCGUUAAGUUGCAGGGUAUAGACCCGAAACCCGGUGAUCUAGCCAUGGGCAGGUUGAAGGUUGGGUAACACUAACUGGAGGACCGAACCGACUAAUGUUGAAAAAUUAGCGGAUGACCUGUGGCUGGGGGUGAAAGGCCAAUCAAACCGGGAGAUAGCUGGUUCUCCCCGAAAGCUAUUUAGGUAGCGCCUCGUGAAUUCAUCUCCGGGGGUAGAGCACUGUUUCGGCUAGGGGGCCAUCCCGGCUUACCAACCCGAUGCAAACUGCGAAUACCGGAGAAUGUUAUCACGGGAGACACACGGCGGGUGCUAACGUCCGUCGUGAAGAGGGAAACAACCCAGACCGCCAGCUAAGGUCCCAAAGUCAUGGUUAAGUGGGAAACGAUGUGGGAAGGCCCAGACAGCCAGGAUGUUGGCUUAGAAGCAGCCAUCAUUUAAAGAAAGCGUAAUAGCUCACUGGUCGAGUCGGCCUGCGCGGAAGAUGUAACGGGGCUAAACCAUGCACCGAAGCUGCGGCAGCGACGCUGAUGCGUUGUUGGGUAGGGGAGCGUUCUGUAAGCCUGCGAAGGUGGCCUGUGAGGGUUGCUGGAGGUAUCAGAAGUGCGAAUGCUGACAUAAGUAACGAUAAAGCGGGUGAAAAGCCCGCUCGCCGGAAGACCAAGGGUUCCUGUCCAACGUUAAUCGGGGCAGGGUGAGUCGACCCCUAAGGCGAGGCCGAAAGGCGUAGUCGAUGGGAAACGGGUUAAUAUUCCCGUACUUGGUGUUACUGCGAAGGGGGGACGGAGAAGGCUAUGUUGGCCGGGCGACGGUUGUCCCGGUUUAAGCGUGUAGGUGUGUGUUCCAGGUAAAUCCGGUUCACUUUAACACUGAGGCGUGAUGACGAGGCACUACGGUGCUGAAGCAACAAAUGCCCUGCUUCCAGGAAAAGCCUCUAAGCAUCAGGUAACAUCAAAUCGUACCCCAAACCGACACAGGUGGUCAGGUAGAGAAUACCAAGGCGCUUGAGAGAACUCGGGUGAAGGAACUAGGCAAAAUGGUGCCGUAACUUCGGGAGAAGGCACGCUGACACGUAGGUGAAGUGAUUUACUCAUGGAGCUGAAGUCAGUCGAAGAUACCAGCUGGCUGCAACUGUUUAUUAAAAACACAGCACUGUGCAAACACGAAAGUGGACGUAUACGGUGUGACGCCUGCCCGGUGCCGGAAGGUUAAUUGAUGGGGUCAGCGCAAGCGAAGCUCCUGAUCGAAGCCCCGGUAAACGGCGGCCGUAACUAUAACGGUCCUAAGGUAGCGAAAUUCCUUGUCGGGUAAGUUCCGACCUGCACGAAUGGCGUAAUGAUGGCCAGGCUGUCUCCACCCGAGACUCAGUGAAAUUGAACUCGCUGUGAAGAUGCAGUGUACCCGCGGCAAGACGGAAAGACCCCGUGAACCUUUACUAUAGCUUGACACUGAACAUUGAGCCUUGAUGUGUAGGAUAGGUGGGAGGCUUUGAAGUGUGGACGCCAGUCUGCAUGGAGCCGACCUUGAAAUACCACCCUUUAAUGUUUGAUGUUCUAACGUGGACCCGUGAUCCGGGUUGCGGACAGUGUCUGGUGGGUAGUUUGACUGGGGCGGUCUCCUCCUAAAGAGUAACGGAGGAGCACGAAGGUUGGCUAAUCCUGGUCGGACAUCAGGAGGUUAGUGCAAUGGCAUAAGCCAGCUUGACUGCGAGCGUGACGGCGCGAGCAGGUGCGAAAGCAGGUCAUAGUGAUCCGGUGGUUCUGAAUGGAAGGGCCAUCGCUCAACGGAUAAAAGGUACUCCGGGGAUAACAGGCUGAUACCGCCCAAGAGUUCAUAUCGACGGCGGUGUUUGGCACCUCGAUGUCGGCUCAUCACAUCCUGGGGCUGAAGUAGGUCCCAAGGGUAUGGCUGUUCGCCAUUUAAAGUGGUACGCGAGCUGGGUUUAGAACGUCGUGAGACAGUUCGGUCCCUAUCUGCCGUGGGCGCUGGAGAACUGAGGGGGGCUGCUCCUAGUACGAGAGGACCGGAGUGGACGCAUCACUGGUGUUCGGGUUGUCAUGCCAAUGGCACUGCCCGGUAGCUAAAUGCGGAAGAGAUAAGUGCUGAAAGCAUCUAAGCACGAAACUUGCCCCGAGAUGAGUUCUCCCUGAGACUUAGAGUCUCCUGAAGGAACGUUGAAGACGACGACGUUGAUAGGCCGGGUGUGUAAGCGCAGCGAUGCGUUGAGCUAACCGGUACUAAUGAACCGUGAGGCUUAACCUUAC